UACGAAGGGAGCUAGCGUUGUUCGGAAUCACUGGGCGUAAAGCGCACGUAGGCGGAUGUGUCAGUCAGGUGUGAAAUCCCGGAGCUCAACUUCGGAACUGCCUUUGAUACAGCACGUCUUGAGUCCGGAAGAGGUGGGUGGAAUUCCUAGUGUAGAGGUGAAAUUCGUAGAUAUUAGGAAGAACACCGGUGGCGAAGGCGGCCCACUGGUCCGGUACUGACGCUGAGGCGCGAAAGCUAGGGGAGCAAACAGG
rnacentral:rRNA from 1 species